UGAAAGCACAUCGCUUCGGACUUGCGGA
rnacentral:sRNA from 1 species